GAAGUUACACUACCACAUGGAAGAAUAUUUGGAGAUGGAUCUCGUUCCAGCCGCAAGAUAGAAGUACUGAAGCAGCUUCAAGAGAAACCAGAACAUCAAGGGCUGAAGCUGCACUUUGUGGAGGAUAGACUAGAAACCCUGAAGGAAGUUAUUGAAGUACCCAAAUUGGAUGGUUGG